AGAGAGAAACAUCCAUGUGAAGAGACACAUCAAUUGAUUGCCUCCCGCAUACAGCACUGCUUGAGUUUCUCACAACAUGGUGGCUGGAUUCCCCCAGAAAGAGAUCCAAUGGACCGAAGCAAAAGCAGAAACGGCAUUCCUGACUUAGUCUCGGAAAUCAUCCGGUCACCUGCACGGUGCUCUUGGUCACAAACACCAGCUACGCGUCGGUGUGGGAGGAGAGAACACAUGAGCUUGAACACCAGGAGAAAAGUGUUACUGCUGUGUUCCGCUCUCGCUUGCAAAGUUCCCCCCUCCCAAAGUAACAGCUUCAUACCACAGUCCAGCACACCCAUGGCGGAGCGGUUCCUCUAGGAAGACGGGUGACUUAUUCUAAAUCUCCAAGGGACAGCUCCUUAGGUGGGAGGGCGGAAUGUGCCAGCGCGCUUGUUGACCAUGUCCCGUGCGAUGUCAUGUGAACAAAAAGCUGGGGCUAAAGUCUGGCCUCUCCAGCCUGGCACACACAAACCCCGCCACUCAGCGGGCCCCCUGGCCUGGGAGAACUUGUGGCAGGAAGGGCUCCUCCAGACUUGAGCACGCAUUACCUGAGGAGGUGGGCAGGCAGCAGGAGGGGGAGCAGGCGCAGGCUGUUGUGAAUUUUGUGCUGUGUGCCCAUUGCCUUCUGGAACCCGGGAUUACAACCUAGAAGCCUAGCAGUUUGGGAGAAUUCCUGCAGCAACUUUCAGUUUUUCAGGAAGCACAAAAGUAAUUGUUUACUCAAAAUGAAACCUCAAGGAUGACUUUUAGUUAGAAAAAAAAAAUCUUGACUCUGGCUUCCUCUUAAGAAAAUAAAUUCGUUAUUAUGGAACAAAUGUGUUUGCCUGUAAACAAAGUCUUUCAAAACAGACCUUCUAUGGGGACAGUCCUUUUAAAAGGGGUUUUCAGUGGGAAGUGGAAUAAGACAUACUGUCCUAGAGAAGUGUUUAAGGGGUGUAAUUUUCCCAAUUAUUUUCAUUAAAAACUGACAAACAGUGGCUAACCUCCCAUUAUACUCCGCAUCUAAUUCAUGGAAGUCCUGGAGACUUGGAAAGACUGCCCGGGAGAGGCCAUGGAAAGUUCCAGGCCUCUGCGUCCGCAGGGACUUCCUUGCGGAGUGUCCCGGAUCCGAGACCUUGCCUCUUGGCCCGGGCUGCAGGGAAUGGUAGCAACCAGUAGAGGCAGACCUUGCUGGGCUGGGAGCUGGGAGCGCUGUCAUGGAGCCUGAGCCCCGUCCUGGAGCCUGAGCCCCGUCCUGGAGCCUGAGUCCUGUCCUGGAGCUGGGAGUCCUAUCCUGGAGCCUGAGCCCCGUCCUGGAGCCUGAACCCCGUCCUGGAGCUGGGAGCCUGAGCCCCAUCCUGGAGUGGCAGAUCCUCUAGAGCCCAGGCAGAGCGUGCACCUCACUUCCACGGGGUCGAGAAAUGUGGACAACAGCAUCUAUUACCAAUCUCCCUCAUUUUGUUGGCAAGAACAAGUGAGCUGUUUCAAUGGGCACAGAAGUGCAUUUGCUCAUUAAACCGGCAGCACUGCUCAGAGACCUAUCCUAUGCUGGUUGUGUGCUCAGUGCUGCGGUGUAAAGGUGAAGGAGACUCAUGGGCCCACAGUCAGGACUGUCCAAAACUGACGUAGGUAAAUCAUUCUGGACAACAACCCAGCUGGGACCCGGGUUCCUCCCCCUCCCACCAGGGGUGUUGCACCCAAACUUUGCAAGGGACCCGUGUCUCCCUUCCAUAGGACCCAAGAACCCCGGGUGCUGGACAGGGAAAUCCUGUAAGAAGCUAACACCCAGCCCCAGACUGGAUGAUUCCAAGAAGUCCGACCACAUCCUACCAGCCACGUCUUUCUCAUCCGCAGGUAUCAGCACCGCGACCAGACACGAUACACCUGCUUGCCUCUGUGGAUACGGUUGGGACCUUUUGUGACUUGGAGUGUAGCCCCAAGUGUAGUUGCUGGG